rnacentral:rRNA from 1 species
UGGGGAAUAUUGGACAAUGGGCGAAAGCCUGAUCCAGCCAUGCCGCGUGUGUGAAGAAGGUCUUCGGAUUGUAAAGCACUUUAAGUUGGGAGGAAGGGCAGGAAGCGAAUACCUUGCUGUUGUGACGUUACCGACCGAAUAAGCACCGGCUAACUCUGUGUCAGCAGCCGCGGUAAUACAGAGGGUGCAAGCGUUAAUCGGAAUUACUGGGCGUAAAGCGCGCGUAGGUGGUUCGUUAAGUUGAAUGUGAAAGCCCCGGGCUCAACCUGGGAACUGCAUCCAAAACUGACUAGAUAGAGGAGGGCAGAGGGUGGUGGAAUUUCCUGUGUAGCGACGAAAUGCGUAGAUAGAGGAAGGAACACCAGUGGCGAAGGCGACCACCUGGGCUCAUACUGACACGGAGGUGAGAAAGCGUGGGGGGCAAACAGG